UACAGAGGGUGCGAGCGUUGUCCGGAAUCACUGGGCGUAAAGGGCGCGUAGGUGGUGGCUUAAGCGUGCGGUGAAAGCUCGGGGCUCAACUCCGAGUCGGCCGUGCGAACUGGGCUCACUGGAGCAUAGUAGAGGCAGGUGGAAUUCCGGGUGUAGCGGUGGAAUGCGUAGAGAUCCGGAAGAACACCGGUGACGAAGGCGGCCUGCUGGGCUAUGGCUGACACUGAGGCGCGACAGCGUGGGGAGCAAACAGG
rnacentral:rRNA from 1 species